AGUCGAAUACGGGUGCAGUUCUGUAAUAAUUCCGUCGAUGGAUGACCAUCCUAUCGUUAGUCCUGUCACUACAGAUCCACGCUGAUAAUCGUAGAUAGCGUUACAAAGAAUCAUUGGUUAUGUCUAUUUGGACCAGAGUCUGCGGAAGCCCCCAACAACAGCGUAGAAGAAUAGAAUAAAUUGCACAUUAUUGAAUAUUAUCGUCUCGACACUAGAGCCGAAGUAGGUCGACGCGUCAUACUUCUCGUAAACCAUCGAACUUGUUCACCCACGCAACAGGUGAUAUCAAGCACAAAAUAAUCGUCGUACAGGAGACCGUCACCCGUUAUAUAUCCAGCCAUGCUACACAUUAUAAUAUUUAAUAUGUUAUAUAUACCGUGCUAUUCUAUACGUCCUAAUAGACGCAAAGCUAUAGAUUCUACCAUGGAUACGUUAUCGAAUGUGGCGUGUAGUAUAUUACCUUUAUUAUACUAUGCACUGUACUUUAUAUUAUAUAGUAUAUACUAUCCUCUGUACUAUAUAAUACAUCUUGCACUGAUUAUAAUAUACCAUAUAAUACGUGGUGCUAUUGCACUGUUGGGAACUGCCAAAUCACGAUAUAGGCGGAUUUAAGCUCUUGCCGCUUAAUUUGGAAAAUUCGAAAUGCACUACGCUACUAACCACAUCUUUUUAUUAUACAUUGUACA